AUUGAACGCUGGCGGCAGGCCUAACACAUGCAAGUCGAGCGGAGCGGCGGAAGGGUGAGUAAUGCCGAGGAAUCUGCAUGGUGGUGGGGGAUAACGUCCAGAAACGGACGCUCAUGCCGCAUACUAUCAGAUGAGUCUAGGGCGGAUUAGCUAGUUGGAGGGGUAACGGCCUACCAAGGCGACGAUCCGUAGCUGGUCUGAGAGGAUGAUCAGUCACACUGGAACUGAGACACGGUCCAGACUCCUACGGGAGGCAGCAGUGGGGAAUAUUGGGCAAUGGGCGAAAGCCUGAUCGAGCCACGCCGCGUGUGUGAAGAAGGUUUUCGGAUUGUAAAGCUCUUUUGGUUGGGAGGCGUUAUCUACCCAGAAAGCACCGGCUAACUACGUGCCAGCAGCCGCGGUAAUAC
rnacentral:rRNA from 1 species